CAUCCUAGGCCCGCCCACGGAGGAAUUCGACCAAUAGAAGCCGGGGGUCGGGGGUGAGGAGACGUUGCUGGGUCAGGAAGCAGGGGGUGAACGGCCUGGCGCUGCCGAGCAAACCCCGGUGUCAGGAACCCUCCCCUGGGGAGCAAAUGGGGUGCGGUGGAACCCAGAGUAUGUACCUAAGUUGCUAAAUCUGACCUUGAACUUGGAAUCCUCCUGCCUCAACCUUCUGAGUCACUGAAAUUGCAGUAGGAAGAAUGAUAUAAACAUGAAAAGACAUCAAUGUAUGCUUCAAAUAUGGCAAGAAAAGAAUAAGGACUGCUGCUUACAAUUGCCUGGGUUCAGGAUUUCACGCUGGAAGGAAUUAGAAAUAAAUUCUAUUUUCAUAGUUCCAAUACAUAUCUCUUGGGAAAUUUCCAAAAAAGGUAAAUUACAGUGAAUUAUAAAUUUAAUUUUUGGUUGAUCUUCACUUUUUAUUGCGUUUUUUUCCCAUCCAGUACUAUUGUUCUUACUUGAUUCCAAAGUGAUUGAGGUACUGAUUGAUUGUUUUUUGUUCACUUUGCAAAAUAGCUGUCUUGUGAUAGUGUCUGUGUUUUGUAUUUGUAGGAAAACAGCUGAAACCUGUUACCAGUUUCCUCUUUUUCUUAGAAAUCUUUCAUUUAAGCUAGGCAUGGUGGCACACACCUGUAAUCCCAGCAACUCAGGAGGCUGAGGCAGGAGGAUCACAAGUUCAAAGCUAAAUUCAGCAAUUUAUAAUUUAGUGAGGCCCUAAGCAACUUGUUGAGACUCUGUCUCAAAAAUAAGUAAUAAAUGAAUGAAUGAAUAAAUAAAGGGCUGCCAAUGUGGUUCAGUGGUUAAGUACCCCUGGGUUCAAUCUCUGGUUCCCCCUCCCAAAUAAAUCUUUCAUUUAAAAUUAAAUUAUUUUCCCAAAUAUGGUUUAAUGCUUUCUUUUUUUUUUAUAGCUUUAAUUUUUUUUUUUUGUACCAGAGAUUGAGUGCAGGGGUGCUUAACCACUAAACCAUAUCCCUUUUUUCAAAUUUUUUGUUUUGAGACAGGUUCUCACUAAGUUGCUGGGGGCCUCACUAAGUUGCUAAGACUUAGUUGCUUUUUGAACUUGGAAUCCUCAUGCCUCAGUGUCCCAAGCCACUGGGAUUACAGGCAUGCACUACCCCACCUGGCCUUUAAUUUUUAUUCUUAGAAAUCAGCUUUCUUCUUUUUUUUUUUUUAAGAGAGAGAGAGAAAGAAAGAGAGAGAGAGAAUAUUUUAAUAUAUUUUUUUUUAGUUCUUGGCGGACACAACAUCUUUGUUUUUGUAUGUGGUGCUGAGGAUCAAACCCGGGAUGCACUCCUGCCAGGCAAGCGCGCUACCACUUGAGCCACAUCCCCAGCCCCUCAGCUUUAUUCUUUAUGUUUUAGAUUUUUAUUUCUUGGUGGAAAUUUAAGACAGAUAUAUAAAGGAGAAAACAAAAACUGCCCAGAGGUGACUCCUGAGAACAUUUUAGUAUGUCUUUCAAAGAGAGAUCUAUCUAGUGUGUCUCAAACAAUAUCUACUUAGUUGAACAAAGGAGUCUCUGAAAUGUCAGUGCUCUACUUACUUAUAGCAGGAAGUCAGGUCUUUUCCUGGCAUGACCCUUCAUGAUUAAUGUCAGCAGAAAUCUCUAGCCAUGAGGGCUUCUUAUAUUGCUGCCUGAAGCCCUGUAGUUCUUUUAGCUUUGGAGUC